UAGCUGUUGAGCAAUGGCUGGAAGUUGGUGUUUGGUUCAGGUUUUGGUAGUCUGUGCUUUCUGUCAUGCUGUUCCACAGUGGAGUAAAUUGCUUCAGGAUGUUCAGGCUCUGAUGAUUCAGCAAACUAACCAGCAGUUUCAAGUUCAGAAGCCAGUUCAACAGCUAUCUAACCAGCAGUUUCCAGUUCAGAAGCCAGUUCAACAACUAACUAGCUAGCAGUUCCCGAUUCAGAAGCCAGUUAAACCGCAGUUUCAGAAGCCAGUAGUGCAGGCAGAGCCCCUUGAUAAAUGUGCUGUAGCUGAUUCUGAGCAGAUCCAAUGUGGUCUACCUGGGAUCAGUGGUGCUGCGUGUCAAGCUAUCAACUGCUGCUUUAACGGACAGCAGUGUUUCUAUUGGAGGGCAGUGACUGUCCAGUUUAUUAGAGAUGGUCAGUUUGUGUUAGUGGUGUCUAGAGACGUUACUCUGCCUUGACUGAGUCUGGAUUCGGUUCAUCUACUGGGUGGAAGUGACCCACCUUGUGCUCCUGUGGGGCCUACACCUUCCUUUGCUAUAUACCAGUUCCCUGUGACCACAUGUGGCACGAGCGUGAUGGAGGACGGCAGAUCUGUGGUGUAUGAAAACCGAAUGACUUCAUCGAAUGAAGUGGGGAUUGGACCAUAUGGUUCCAUCACAAGGGACCGUCAUUUUGAGUAGGUGAUCCAUGACUUAUAGUGAUAUUGAGAUCUUCAGGAACUUCUGUGGAAGCUCUGGUUGUGGAAGUCAACUCUGUUCCUCCACCUCCACCAGUAGCUGCUCCUGGACCUCUCAGGGUGGAGCUCAGACUGGCCAAUGUGUCACCAAAGGCUGUGCUGAAGGGGAUGAGGCCUACACGUCCUACUACAGUUACACUGAUUAUCCCAUCACAAAAGUCCUGCGAGAGCCUGCGUAUGUUGAGGUGCACAUUUAUGGAGAGGACUGACCCCAACAUUGUCCUGAUGCUGGGACAUUGUUGGGCGACUUCAACCCCCCAGUCCACUCCGUCUCCCCCAGUGGGACCUUCUGAGCGACGGAUGCCCUUACCAGGAUGAUCGCUAUCUGACCACACUGGUUCCAGUGACUGGAUCGUCUGGUCUUCAAUUCCCA